UUUCAGUAGGGACUUUAUUAAA
rnacentral:miRNA from 1 species